AGUUUUUUAAUAAAAAAUCAAAUUCACCAAAAGUCAAAAAAGAGAAAAUAAAAGAAGAAAACGAAACCCAACCUUUAAUUGAAAACCAUCGCCGUUCGACCGCUUUUUGCAGUGUUUGUUUAUGGGUAUUUUGAAGAUUUGUUCUAUUGGAUGUCUAGCUUCAGAUCAGGAAAAACAUCUCCGAGGAAGAAACUUCAGGCAAUGAAGAAUCAAAAGGCUGGGUUCUCAUGAACCGAUUCUCAAAAGGGUUAUCGUCACAUGAAAGAUGAAGGAAUCGUUUCUAAAGAAUCUCUUUUCAUUUUGAUUAUGAGAGAUUACGAAAAAGCUGAGUUUCAUGAACAAACUACAAGAUUGAUGUUGGAUGCGCUAUGGAGAUGGCGAAUCUUCUCCCCGGUGUUUUGUUCAAGCUUCUCCAGCACAUUAACACCGACGUCUUGGCCGUCGGCUUGAACGAUAAUUUGAUGAAUUGGGUUUAGAUUAAUUGUUUUUAUCUUGAUCUUGUCUUUUUUAUUAUAGUCUUCUCCAUGUCUGAAUUAUGUUCAUUAGAAACCAUAACAUCAAUCACAUUGUGAACAAUUGUUCUC